GAUGAACGCUGGCGGCGUGCCUAAUACAUGCGAGUCGAGCGAACGGACGAGAAGCUUGCUUCUCUGAUGCUAGCGGCGGACGGGUGAGUAACACGUGGGUAACCUACCUAUAAGACUGGGAUAACUUCGGGAAACCGGAGCUAAUACCGGAUAAUAUUUUGAACCGCAUGGUUCAAAAGUGAAAGACGGUCUUGCUGUCACUUAUAGAUGGAUCCGCGCUGCAUUAGCUAGUUGGUAAGGUAACGGCUUACCAAGGCAACGAUGCAUAGCCGACCUGAGAGGGUGAUCGGCCACACUGGAACUGAGACACGGUCCAGACUCCUACGGGAGGCAGCAGUAGGGAAUCUUCCGCAAUGGGCGAAAGCCUGACGGAGCAACGCCGCGUGAGUGAUGAAGGUCUUCGGAUCGUAAAACUCUGUUAUUAGGGAAGAACAUAUGUGUAAGUAACUGUGCACAUCUUGACGGUACCUAAUCAGAAAGCCACGGCUAACUACGUG
rnacentral:rRNA from 1 species